CUUUGCAUAAUGUGUGCAAGAAACUAUUAAAACAUUUAUGUUGUUGUCAUCAUAAAAAACACAGAAGGGUUUAGGUUUCUCUUUCACAUAGCUCCCCCUAUCAACAAGCCUGUUUAAAUUUCAGAAAAACGAAACAGAACCACUCUUGCAAUGUUCUUCUUCCCCACGAACGAGUUUUCUCCCUUCUCUCACACACGAGUUUCUUCCUGUGCUUCCAUCUCUGUCGUCGAUGCACUACUGGUUGCCCUUGUCUCGACCUCUCUACACUUUCACCACCGCCAACUAUUGUUGGCCGCUUCCUUCACCACGUUAAUCCCCUCUCUUGGCAUUUCUUUUUCGCACGUGAUAAGAUUUUUGAAACCUCUCCAUUUUUCUCU
rnacentral:lncRNA from 1 species